rnacentral:Y_RNA from 1 species
GGCCGGUCUGAGUGCAGUGGUGUUUACAACUAAUUGAUCACAACCAGUUACAGAUUUAUUUGUUCCUUCUUCACUCCCAUUGCUUCACUUGAUAAGCCUUUA